UACAGAGGGUGCAAGCGUUAAUCGGAAUUACUGGGCGUAAAGCGCGCGUAGGCGGCUGAUUAAGUCGGAUGUGAAAUCCCCGGGCUCAACCUGGGAACUGCAUACGAUACUGAUCGGCUAGAGUAUGAGAGAGGGAGGUAGAAUUCCACGUGUAGCGGUGAAAUGCGUAGAUAUGUGGAGGAAUACCGGUGGCGAAGGCGGCCUCCUGGCUUAAUACUGACGCUGAGGUGCGAAAGCGUGGGGAGCGAACAGG
rnacentral:rRNA from 1 species